CCUGGUUGAUCCUGCCAGUAAUCAUAUGCUUGUCUCAAAGAUUAAGCCAUGCAUGUCUAAGUACAUGCCGAAAUAAGGCGAAACCGCGAAUGGCUCAUUAAAUCAGUUAUGGUUCCUUAGAUCGUUUCUUCCUACUUGGAUAACUGUGGCAAUUCUAGAGCUAAUACAUGCAGUGAGCCUGGAGCCCUUUGGGUAACGGGUGCUUUUAUUAGACCAAGAUCGAUCGGGUUUCGGCCCGUAUUGUGUGGUGACUCUGGAUAACUUUGUGCUGAUCGCAUGGCCACGAGCCGGCGACGUUUCUUUCAAGUGUCUGCCUUAUCAACUUUCGAUGGUAGGUUACUUGCUUACCAUGGUUGUUACGGGUAACGGAGAAUCAGGGUUCGAUUCCGGAGAGGGAGCCUGAGAAACGGCUACCACAUCCAAGGAAGGCAGCAGGCGCGCAAAUUACCCACUCCCGGCACGGGGAGGUAGUGACGAAAAAUAACAAUACGGGACUCUUUUGAGGCCCCGUAAUUGAAAUGAGUACACUCUAAAUCCUUUAACGAGGAUCAAUUGGAGGGCAAGUCUGGUGCCAGCAGCCGCGGUAAUUCCAGCUCCAAUAGCGUAUACUAAAGCUGCUGCGGUUAAAAAGCUCGUAGUUGGAUCUCAGUUCCAGACGAGUAGUGCAUCUACCCGAUGCGACGGCUCGGACUGAACAUCAUGCCGGUUCUUUCUUGGUGCACUUCAUUGUGUGCCUCGAGAUGGCCGGUGCUUUUACUUUGAAAAAAUUAGAGUGCUCAACGCAGGCGAGUCGCCUGAAUAAACUUGCAUGGAAUAAUAGAACAAGACCUCGUUUCUGUUCUGUUGGUUUUUGGAAUACGAGGUAAUGAUUAAGAGGGACGGACGGGGGCAUUCGUAUUGCGGCGCUAGAGGUGAAAUUCUUGGACCGUCGCAAUACGAACUACUGCGAAAGCAUUUGCCAAGAAUGUUUUCAUUGAUCAAGAACGAAAGUCAGAGGUUCGAAGGCGAUCAGAUACCGCCCUAGUUCUGACCAUAAACGAUGCCAACCAGCGAUCCGCCUGAGUUACUCAAAUGACUCGGCGGGCAGCUUCCGGGAAACCAAAGUAUUUGGGUUCCGGGGGAAGUAUGGUUGCAAAGCUGAAACUUAAAGGAAUUGACGGAAGGGCACCACCAGGAGUGGAGCCUGCGGCUUAAUUUGACUCAACACGGGAAAACUUACCCGGCCCGGACACUGGGAGGAUUGACAGAUUGAGAGCUCUUUCUUGAUUCGGUGGAUGGUGGUGCAUGGCCGUUCUUAGUUGGUGGAGCGAUUUGUCUGGUUAAUUCCGAUAACGAACGAGACUCUAGCCUAUUAAAUAGGUGCGGGGUUCCCAGCACCUUACAACCUUCUUAGAGGGACAAGCGGCUCCUAGCCGCACGAAACAGAGCAAUAACAGGUCUGUGAUGCCCUUAGAUGUCCGGGGCCGCACGCGCGCUACACUGAAGGAAGCAGCGUGUCUUUAUCCCUGUCUGAAAAGACUGGGUAACCCGUGGAACUUCUUUCGUGAUUGGGAUAGGGGCUUGCAAUUGUUCCCCUUGAACGAGGAAUUCCCAGUAAGCGCGAGUCAUAAGCUCGCGUUGAUUACGUCCCUGCCCUUUGUACACACCGCCCGUCGCUACUACCGAUUGAAUGAUUUAAUGAGGUCUUCGGACCGAUGUCCGGCGCGGCCUUUCGGUUGCGCCGGUCUGUUGGAAAGAUGACCAAACUUGAUCAUUUAGAGGAAGUAAAAGUCGUAACAAGGUUUCCGUAGGUGAACCUGCGGAAG
rnacentral:rRNA from 1 species